AGUGAACGCUGGCGGUAGGCCUAACACAUGCAAGUCGAACGGCAGCACAGUAAGAGCUUGCUCUUACGGGUGGCGAGUGGCGGACGGGUGAGGAAUACAUCGGAAUCUACUUUUUCGUGGGGGAUAACGUAGGGAAACUUACGCUAAUACCGCAUACGACCUACGGGUGAAAGCAGGGGAUCUUCGGACCUUGCGCGAUUGAAUGAGCCGAUGUCGGAUUAGCUAGUUGGCGGGGUAAAGGCCCACCAAGGCGGCGAUCCGUAGCUGGUCUGAGAGGAGGAUCAGCCACACUGGAACUGAGACACGGUCCAGACGCCUACGGGAGGCAGCAGUGGGGAAUAUUGGACAAUGGGCGCAAGCCUGAUCCAGCCAUACCGCGUGGGUGAAGAAGGCCUUCGGGUUGUAAAGCCCUUUUGUGGGGAAAGAAAAGCAGCAGGUUAAUACCCCGCUGUUCUGACGGUACCCAAAGAAUAAGCACCGGCUAACUUCGUG
rnacentral:rRNA from 1 species